UACGGAGGGUGCGAGCGUUGUUCGGAUUCACUGGGCGUAAAGGGUGCGUAGGCGGUCGGGUAAGUCUGAUGUGAAAUCUCACAGCUUAACUGUGAAACUGCAUUGGAUACUAUCCGGCUCGAGGAAUGGAGGGGAGACUGGAAUACUUGGUGUAGCAGUGAAAUGCGUAGAUAUCAAGUGGAACACCAGUGGCGAAGGCGAGUCUCUGGACAUUUCCUGACGCUGAGGCACGAAAGCCAGGGGAGCAAACGGG
rnacentral:rRNA from 1 species